rnacentral:rRNA from 1 species
UACGGAGAGUGCGAACGUUGUUCGGAUUCACUGGGCGUAAAGGGCACGUAGGCGGCUCGGCAACUCGGUCGUGGAAUCCCGGCGCUUACCGUCGGAACGGCGGCCGAAAAUACCGAGCUAGAGGGCGUGAGGGGUCACUGGAACUCCUGGUGAAGCGGUGAAAUGCGUAGAUAUCAGGAGGAACGCCGGAGGCGAAAGCGAGUGACUGGCGCGUUCCUGACGCUGAGGUGCGAAAGCGUGGGGAGCAAACAGG